rnacentral:rRNA from 1 species
GAUGAACGCUAGCUACAGGCUUAACACAUGCAAGUCGAGGGACCGGCGCACGGGUGAGUAACACGUAUCCAACCUGCCCUUUACUCGGGGAUAGCCUUUCGAAAGAAAGAUUAAUACCCGAUAUAAAGGAUGGGGAUGCGUUCCAUUAGGUUGUUGGUGAGGUACAGGCACACCAAGCCUUCGAUGGAUAGGGGUUCGGAGAGGAAGGUCCCCCAGAUUGGAACUGAGACACAGUCCCAACUCCUACGCGAGGCAGCAGUGUGGAAUACAGGUCAAUGGGCGCUAGCCUGAACAAGCCAAGUAGCGGGAAGGAUCAAGGCUUAUGAGACGUAAACUACUUGUAUAUAAGAAUAUGUAUUAGAUGAAUAAGGAUCGGCUAACUCCGUGCCAGCCGCCGCGGUAAUUC